GGAAUUUGGGGAUUGUAUAACUGGAUGAUUCUGGCUGGUAGGUCUUUCAGGAGGUUACAGUUGAGCCAUCACCCAGGGCUGCAGUCAUCUGAAGGCUGUUCUGAGACUAAAGGGUCUGCUUCCAAGAUGGCACACUUCUAUGGCCCACAAGUUGGUGCUGGCUGUGGGCUUUAGUUCUCCAGGUAGGACUCUUCACAGGGCUGCUUGAGCAUCCUCACAACAUGGUGGCUGACUUUCCCCGGAGUAGUCACAGCGGAGGAUGUAGUGUCUUCUGUGACCUCGAUUUGGAAGCCCCAUUGUUGCAUCCAGUGCAAUCUAUUGGCCACAUGCGCCCACCAUAACUCAGUGUGGGAAAGAACCAUACCAGGAUGUGAAUACCAGGAAGCAGGGUCACCUGGGGCCCAUCUUAGAGGCUGCCACCACACUACCUUAUCAUUUCUUCAGCUGUGGCCCUAGAAUCCCUUGCACCCUACUCAAAAUGCAGUUUCCUGGGCCCUGCCCAAACCUACUGAGCCAGGGCCCAGGAAUCUGCAUUUUUAAGAAGCACUCCAGGUGAUUUGGACACAAACUAAGGGUUAAGCCCCACUGACUGUCAUAGGUCUCAGAGAGACUUGUCAUCCAGUUGGUUUUCUUCAGCCCCCUGGGUGUGCCAGCCCCUAGGAUGGACACUGGCAAACAAGAGAAUGACAGAAUAGGAGCACAGAACAGAUACUCACUGGGUGUCUUACAGUCUAGAACUGUUGGAUUGAAAGAAAUUAUAACCCACUUAACUAUGCAAAUAUUUAUUGGGAGGAUCCAGGGGAGAUCUUCGAAAACCCAAAAACAGGAAGUUUAGCCAGGCUUCAAUAGGUGUCGCACAGGCUAUUUUGAUCUUAGUUCUCUCUAAGGCCUGGCUGUUUCUCUCCCUGCCAUCAUGUCCCAGAAGGGUCGCUCAACCAUCAGCUCUUAAGUUUAGCACUACGGAUACCAAACUUAGUUCCCAGGACCCUGAUUGGCUCAGCUUGUGUCUGACCAACUCUCAUCCGAUCAGCUGUAGGCAAGGAGGGAAGACUCAGGGGAGCUGAGAGAGGGAUGGAAGCAAAGAUUGGCUUCUCUGUGCCAGGCCCCAGGGAGGGACAGAGGGGAGGCCCCUUUCUUAAGGAGCUGCAGCCUAGAGGGCCUGGGUGCCCUGCCCUGGGAUUUCUCAGCAUCACAACUAGAGAAGCAAUGACAGCUGUGCCCCUGGACCAUGAAGAGAGGGUAGCAACCAUGGCCCCGGCCCUCGGCUGCUCUCAGCUCCAGGCACAGGGGAACC
rnacentral:lncRNA from 10 species